GCAAGUUUAGCUCCGCCCAUGGUCCAUGUCUUACCUGAUUAUUCUACCACCUGUACAGUUCAAGACGAGGUGCGAGCUUGGUAGCAGCAGACUGUCGUCCGUCUGUGUGUUUUAUAUCGCACAGGACAAGCUAACCGUCUGAGUAUAGCAGUCUUAGGACAGGAAGAAGAAUUUAUUUCUUUGGAGUCAAAUUAUGUGCAGACUCUCAAAACCUGUCCAGUAGCUCUAGUUUCAAUGAAAAAAAGAGUUGACUUGAAGAAGUUACCAGUUUAUUUCGUGUGAGGUUUUCAAAGAACCAAAUCAUAGGAAAUGGUGAUGUUAAUUCUGUCUUCUUCUUUGCUCUUGAUUCUACUCGGAACAUGUUUUGGCGAGGGUAUGAAUUUAAAACAUUUGUUUCAUUCUAUCUUUUAACCAUUGAGUGCAUAUAUCAAUUAGUAAAAAGCUCUUUUAAAUUGCAAGGCUUAACUUUAUUCAGUUCACAAAUGCGACUGGGAGUGAGUCAUAAAUUUCCUCAUUACAAACAUUUUAUUUGGAUAUACAACUUUCAUCUUCGCCCUUACUAAUUUAAUUUUUAAUUCAGAAAAGUCAACUUGACUUGUAAAUAUUACUAACCAAACUAAGACUGCUGGACAGUUUAAGAACUUACAACAAUUUUAUUUACAUCAGAGAGCUUACACUUUAUACUUUUGUGUUUUGAGGGCAAAAAUAUAGCUGUGAAGUCCGAUUUGAUGGAAAGUGUAUAAAUAAAGUGACUUGCCAAAUCCCCGACACCUACCGCCAGGAGGGAAGACCUUUUACCAUUUUCUAUGUCUCAAAUGGACAAACAGAAAAGGCUGUGGUGCUGCACAAUGUUGGGAGGUACAUUUGUGACGCGGCAGGGGACCACAUCUGUGACCAGAACGCGACAUCCAUCACCAUCGACUCUAAGACAUCGUGUGUAGAGAACAGAGAAUACAUCCUUGCUGCUGAUGGAGAAAGCGGGAAUUCCUUGCUCAACUAUAAAAAGUCAGCAGAAGACUCCUGACCCGGGCGAAGAAGAAGCUGUUGUAUGCCUUGAAGAUACAACAGUCGGUAAUGAGACUAACGGCCAUGUCAAAAAGCGAGAAGCCACUAAGAAAUGUAGAAAGAGGUCGCUACCACAGCAGGAAGGCGAGU